GAUGAAGAACGUAGCGAAAUGCGAUACGUAAUGUGAAUUGCAAAUUCAGUGAAUCAUCGAGUCUUUGAACGCACAUUGCGCCCCCUGGUAUUCCGGGGGGCAUGCCUGUCCGAGCGUCAUUGCUGCCCUCAAGCACGGCUUGUGUGUUGGGCCCCGUCCUCCGAUCCCGGGGGACGGGCCCGAAAGGCAGCGGCGGCACCGCGUCCGGUCCUCGAGCGUAUGGGGCUUUGUCACCCGCUCUGUAGGCCCGGCCGGCGCUUGCCGAUCAACCCAAAUUUUUAUCCAGGUUGACCUCGGAUCAGGUAGGGAUACCCGCUGAACUUAAGCACAUCAAUAAGCGGAGGA
rnacentral:misc_RNA from 1 species